rnacentral:rRNA from 1 species
UACAGAGGGUGCGAGCGUUGUCCGGAAUCACUGGGCGUAAAGCGCACGUAGGCGGCUUGGCAAGUCGGAUGUGAAAUCCCUCGGCUCAACCAAGGAAGUGCAUCCGAAACUGCUGAGCUUGAGUACUUAAGAGGAUCGCGGAAUUCCCGGUGUAGAGGUGAAAUUCGUAGAUAUCGGGAGGAACACCAGUGGCGAAGGCGGCGAUCUGGGAAGAUACUGACGCUGAGGUGCGAAAGCGUGGGGAGCAAACAGG